rnacentral:rRNA from 1 species
GUGAGGAAUAUUGGACAAUGGGCGCAAGCCUGAUCCAGCCAUGCCGCGUGCAGGAAGACGCAUCUAUGGUGUGUAAACUGCUUUUGUACGGGAAGAAACACUCCCUCGUGAGGGAGCUUGACGGUACCGUAAGAAUAAGGAUCGGCUAACUCCGUGCGAGCAGCCGCGGUAAUACGGAGGAUCCAAGCGUUAUCCGGAAUCAUUGGGUUCAAAGGGUCCGUAGGCGGUUUAAAAAGUCAGUGGUGAAAGCCCAUCGCUCAACGAUGGAACGGCCAUUGAUACUGUUAGACUUGAAUUACAAGGAAGUAACUAGAAUAUGUAGUGUAGCGGUGGAAUGCUUAGAUAUUACAUGGAAUACCAAUUGCGAAGGCAGGUUACUACUUGUGGAUUGACGCUGAUGGACGAAAGCGUGGGGAGCGAACAGGAUUAGAAACCCGGGUAGUCC